AACGAACGCUGGCGGCAUGCCUAACACAUGCAAGUCGAACGAGACCUUCGGGACUAGUUGCUCACGGGUGCGGCACGCGGGGGAAGCGGCACUUGUGUUCGGGAUAACAGUUUGAAGCGACUGCUAAUACAGGGUGAUUACGUAAAUCCAAGGAUUUAUCGCCCAAGUGUAAGCACGUGUAGGAUUAGCUAGUUGGGGGGGUAUAAGCCGACGACGGCUACGAUCGGUAGCUGGUCUGAGAGGCAGAUCGGCCACGCUGGGACUGAGACACGGUCCAGACUCCUACGGGAGGAAGCAGUGGGGAAUAUUGGACAAUGGGCGCAAGCCUGAUCCAGCCAUACCGCGUGGGUGAAGAAGGCCUUCGGGUUGGAGAGCCCUUUUGUUGGGAAAGAAAAGCAGCAGGUUAAUACCCCGCUGUUCUGACGGUACCCAAAGAAUAAGCACCGGCUAACUUCGUG
rnacentral:rRNA from 1 species